AGACGAGGUGGCUACCCGGAGUGAGUGAGCAUGGAGGGGGGGUCCUGUUCGUUGCCCUGCUAGCUACGCCGUGACUCGCCUUCACUUUUCCGACACUUGCUACGUGCGGCGCCCAAACUUUUCUCUCCAUCUCUCUCUGUUUCUCUCCCAGAGCUGGGAGCCAGCCUCUCUUACCCGCUCACGGGACCCAGGGAUCCGGGCCCUGUACUCCCUCUUCCGGGUUUGGGCGCCUGCGAACCUGAGGCUUGGUCCUCGGCUUAGUUUAGACCUCCUCCUGCCUCGGGGUUUCCGCUCGCCGAGGUUCCCGAAGUCCUGCACCCGAAGGACUAAACUAACUAAACUUCGGCUGAGUAAUGGGGGUGGAGGCGGGGGAGGGGUGCAGAUACACAAUCCUUGCCCUAUCUCGCGAUCAGGAGAGGAGAGGGCUCAUAAGGACGCCCCAAUUCUGGAGCGCCUUUGAGUCUGGAUCGUGACACAGUCGGCUCGCGCGAAGUGGGCACUAGCCUUCACAGCAGAGCCUUGGAACUCAGGACCCAUGUCGCACUCUCUUAAAUGGCUUUUAGCCCCUUUCCACGGUUCUUUUUCCCCUAAUCUUUUGUGUGCUAGUUGAAAGUAUCUUUUUAUGUCUGCUGACUUUAUACUUCUUGGUUUAACUUCUGCCUUCUUUCCUUCUCCCCGUCCAUCCUUCCUCUCUCUCUUUUUUUUUUUAUUUUGUCCUUGCUCUCCCACCCCUCGCGCGUCUCCCUGGUCUCCGGCUCUCUCCCGCAUCUCGCUCUUCCCUUCUCUCCAGGUUCUGUUGGGUACUGUAGAUUUUGAUAAAAAGACAAACGAAGCUAUCAGUGGCUCUGAUGUUGAAGAAUGAAGAUAAUAAUGUUUCCAUAGGUGGUGUUUCAAAUGCCAUUAUUUCUCACUGAAUAUUUAAAGAGAUCUCUCGGCAAAGAUGGAUUUGCGCGCUCCUGGGGUGCUAGCCGCUUACUUUCCCCAAACCCCCGGGAACGUGAUCAGACCGGAACACUUUUAAAUCUAGCACUCUCCCCUACCCCGCAAAUCGGAGCGCUUGAAAACACACCAACGUGCACCCCUCAGGGUGCACCGAAGCUUCCAGGCGCACCUUUCUUCCUUGAAUCUGCCGGUAUUUAGAGCCGCCCUCAACAGUCUUUAACAUUCUUGGCUUCUUGAAAGUCCUGGCCUCCGGGCAAUCCAGUGGCCAGAAACCCAGUGGAGCUGGCGGUCCUACAAGCCCUUCUCGGGGUGUGCUCCGCGGGAAGCUCCAGGGAGAUGCUUCACACGUGCUCACUGUUGGCUCUAUGUGUGAUUAAGGGUGGGGGGAAUCUCCCCCCAAACACCACAAACGAACGAAAACGCAAAAUCUGCUGCUUCGCGCUGUUUAAUUAAAAAUGGGCGAGCAGAGACGAAUUAAUUGCGGGUAUCUAAACUUUGAUAACUUUUUUCGUUCUUUUGAGUCCUCGACGACGUAGAGGCGGGCGCCUGGCUCUGUGAGCGGCAUCCCCCGCUAAUUUCUUGUUUGUUUUCUUUCCCUUUGGCCGGGAGAGAGAAGAGGGGAGGUGGAGGAGGGGGAUGGGAGGAAGGGGACGGUUGGAAUGGCCGGGAGAGAAUUGGUCUUUAUUGUUGGUGGCGAUACAUCAAUUACAGGCCAUUGUCUCGCGCCCAAGUUCCGCGGUUCGCUGGUGCGGUCGCCGAAGUGUCAGCAAGCUGGCGAGGCACCGCGUGCCGCAGAGCAAAGACAUAAUUAAAUCAAUAAAAAAUGG
rnacentral:lncRNA from 1 species